ensembl:lncRNA
GUAAAAAUAAAUUAAACCAUUUUAUUAAAACAUUUGUCACUUUCAGCUUGAAGGAGAAUCUGAACUAACACCUGACGAGAAGGAAAGCAUUAAUGAUUUGUGCUUUUCGUGGGACCUUCCACCAGUGAACAAUGCUAAUCGACGAUGGCUUUAUGAGAGGCUUCUACAUCAUGCGGUUAUCGGACGAACUAUGAGGCAAAUCAAGCAACUUAGGAAAGGAUUAAAGGAGACCAUGCUGUGGCCACUACUUUGUCAGCGUCCGGAUGUGCUUCCAGUCAUUUUCCCACCAGAGAAAAAUUAUGUGUUGACCCCAGUGUGUGUCAUAAACAGCAUCAGCUGGCCUUCCAUGGUGGAAAAUGAUGAUGAAGAUGACAAUGAUGACGAAUGCUCUUUGGAGGAUAAGAGCCGAAUUGCUGGCUACCUUCGUCAGUUCAUUGAAAGUGCAUCCAGUCAUGAGCUGAAGGCCCUCGUCAAGUUCUGGGUUGGUUGGGAGGUUCCCACUACUUCCCUCAAACUGGAGGUGACAAACUGCAACCUACCUAGGGCAUCCACAUGUUUUGAGACCCUACGGCUUCCAUCGAGAUAUUGUAACUACCCAGCAUUCCAAAAAGAAUUGCUUGCCUGCAUCGGUACUGUUGAUACAGGAUUUGGACUGGUGUAAUUACUGUGGAUAGUGAGGUGUAAUUGUUUAUAUAAUUUCAGUUUUUUUUAUUUUUUUAUUACUUGAUUUAUUUGAAAAGCACUACAUAGGUUGAAAAGAAUAUAAACCAAACUGUUCUUCACUGUUUAUGCAGUGAUAUGUGCUAUACAACAUGUUCAUAUAAUGUAACUGAAGUUCCCUUUCAAGGGAACUUCGAACUGCAUCCUCUAGGGGUCGCUAUGGGGAACACCUCGUCGUGACCCGUGUCUGAAGCAUACAAAUGAAAAAACACCAACGAGUUGGCCGGCGACAGCCUCUGACGUCACUACCGGUGCGACUAUAAAACAGGCACCGGGAAAACACGUCAUUCUCUUCUUCGUCUUCACUGACUGUUUUGUUUGAAGCGUGCAUCUGAAAGAACCGGUAAGAGCGCUCUUUCUCUGUCUAUCAUGGCGACUACUAGCAAGCGUUUAGACAAUGUAUGCAUCCGUGUCGGCGUUAUUUGACACCUGAUGACACACACGAUCUUUACGUGAUUUGUUUGGGUAAAGAGCACGCACGCGAUGUCUUUGAGGAGGCAAUCUGCGUGCAUUACGAGCAUUUUUUCAAGGAAAAAGCUCCGCUCUCGUUCGUCUCUGAGCUCGUGAGAAUUUCAGGUGGAUCUGUCUGAAUGGUUUAAAGAGGGACUUUCCCUUUCGCGCUCAAAAUGGUGGCGGACGAGAGAGAGCCUCGGGAGGAUGAUGUUAUAUCUUUAACACUUUCUGAUACUGAGGUUAGUGCUCUGCUGGGUUUUUACCCAGGAAAAGCAGGAGAUAUUUGAGGAUGGUGAAGAAGCUGAGACUGAGCCUUCUCAAUUCUCCUGCCCUGCGUAUGUAGAGCUGUUGGAGUUUAUGGAUCGCGCCUCGAUGAGCGUUAUCUUUCCGACCAUAGCCCUCCAGCUCAGGUGAGCCUUCCAUUUCUGCCUGAUCUCCAUACAGAGAUCGAAAGGAAAUGAAAGAGGCCAUUUUCUUCUCGCAUCCAUCGGUUUCAGCAUAAGAGUUUUGCCGACAUCGAGGCGAUGCGCGAAAACGGCUAUGAGAGGAUGCCCCCCCUGCAGAAAGAGCUUUCAUUCUGCGGGGGAGACAUCCUCUCUUAAUCUCCCUCCUUGCCAUCUAAGCCCCUUCAAGCAAUGCAUCUUGCUUAAAUGGCAAGGCAUACGCAGCAGCAGGUCAGGCUGUGGCUUUAUUACAAAAUAAAUGCUUCAAGCAUAUCAGACUGAUCUGCUAAGAGACCUGGUUAGAGGCGAAGGCCUUUUUUUCCUGAUCAGGUAGCCGAGCUGCGCCGCACCACAGGCCUCUCUCCGGGCUACCAAGCAGGCCGCCUCUGCCAAGCGCAGGACUAUGGCGGCCAUGGUGGUGGCGGAGAGACAUCUGUGGAUGAACCUGGCAGACAUCGGGAAGAAAGAAAAGGCUUUCUUCUCGAUGCUCAGGUUUCGCCUUCUGAACUUUUCGGUAUUUCCGUUGAGACGGUGAUCGAGAAGUUCGGGUUUCGCCUUCUGAACUUGAUCCUUCGUUCCACGAAGGUCCAGGUCUGAGCCCGAACAACAUAGGGGGUCCUGGCCUGUCUCGAUCUGAGGAUCAAAGACGGGCACAGAAGGCUAGUGUCGCGACUCACGCUCCUCCCCCACCUGCGGGCAGGGUUAAGAGGAAUUGUGGGUCACAAGGGGGUAAGCAGAACCUAAGGGAUGUGAUCCAGACGAGGCAGCGUUCUCGUCUGAGUCAGAGUGAUACUGAGGUAUCUACUCGUUCCCUUUAGGGAUUUUUAACUUCUGCUUUUAUCCUCCCCUUCCUAAUUCCCCUGUAACCACCAGCUCUCCACCUGAUCGAGGUUAGGUGGAAACCUCUAACGCAUAACAGUCUCCUAUGCUGGACCUAUAAUGCUUUUGGCUGGUUCUAUGUUCAUAGCAACCACCUUACUGAUGGUCCGGACUAAAAGGAGGCGCCCCUUGAGCGGGGCUCCAGCGCAGGACAUAUAUGUGUAAAUUGCUGGUGGUUAUGUGUCUACUAAUAAACUCUGUGAGUUUCCUUUGCAGUGCUCAGUUACAGUGUUUACUAAACACUCGUCAGCACCAGCCAUCCGGCUUCAUGUUCUGGUAUUAGGCGGCUGAGAUCACAGGUUUCUGCGGGAGCCUCCUUGAUCAUCAGGCCUUGCACUCACUGCAGGGAAUUUCAUGGAUGUCCGGCCAGGUCACCCUGAGGGGUCUCCUGGCCGCUUAGGUGCUGUCGCAUCCAGCGGGAAGUGAAGGUGGCAGUUACAGAAGUCUUCUUGUAUAUGCUGCCUCAGGUGAUGCUCCCCUCGCUAGAGGUUUAUAAAAUUCGAGCUUGCCUCUCCCGUGCGGUUCAGCGCCUCUGCGAUGCUUAGGAACCUUUAGGUACACACGCUAAGCUCUGUGUACUUUCUGAAAACCACAUGGUGGUCAGUGUGCAUGUGAACACUUUGCGCACUUUCUAAAAAUCCACGUAUUGGUAAGUGUGCACGCACAACUCUGCGCACUUUCUGAAAUCCUGUAUGGUAAGGGUUACGCGCUCCGCCUCGUUCCCUUUCUUGAGAUGAUUAGACCUUGGUUCCUUGGGCUCCAUUCAGCCAGUGUGUAUUUAUUUAUACACUUCAAGCAUCGCUUCCCUCAACAUGAGGGGCUAUUCGGGCGAUUCUCGUGGUAGUUUAGCAGCGCUCCCCUUUUCCAAGAAGGGUCGCCUAUGAGCAUGCUACUCUGGAUUCAGGAGUUCUCCUCUCAUAUGAGACUGAGUUCACUGUUUUUCCCAGAGCGCUCCAGCAUUAUUUCCACAGAUCGAGUUGAUGACUCUCAAACAUACUUUUUUGAGAUGCACCAUUCCAUCUAUGAGCUGCUCUAUCAGAGUGCCACGAGAGCCCUUCCUUAGAACAGUAUUUGAAAAUCCAUGAUAUGGUAAGUGUGCACGUGAAGUCUUUGCACACUUUCUGAAAUCCACACUGUGGUAAGUUCGCACGCAAGUACUCUGCGUUCUUUAUAAAAUCCUAUAUGGUGAGGGCUUCGCGCGGUUGCUUCGUGCCCUUUCUUGAGCUGGUAAAAGCCCCGUUCAUCUUGGGCGCCACUCCACCCAUGUAUCCUCCGAUACCUAUCUAAACAGGGUGUUGCUACUGGAGAUCUGUUGAGACAGCUCCUUCAGCAAGCUUUUGCGGAAGCAAGCUGUAGCCCCUGUGUGACAGGCUAGACUUAGUAUAAAAUGCUAGGUUCCUAGCUGUAUCCCUUUAAAGGAAUCGUUCCUGAUUCCAAGCCUUUAGCUCUACCACCGGGCCGAGGCCCUAACAAUUAAGUUGGGUAUGUAGCUUAGGCCUUUGGCCGUAAGGGGUAUUGUCACAGACAGCCGUCUAAACGUCCCGGGGGCAACUCCCAUUGAAAUGGUAGAGUUGGUACUUAGUGUUCGCCAUGAUUCUGGCCUGCACACCCCUCAGCAUGGCGGCGUGGGUAUACUGUUCCCCAUAGCGACCACUAGAGGACGCAGUUCGAAGUUCCCUUGAAAGGGAACGUCUCAGGUUACGAAUGUAACCAUGGUUCCCUGAGUAGGGAACGAGACACUGCGUCCUCUAGCUCCCUGCCAUGCUUCGGACGCAAGCUUCAGACGAAGAAGUGAAUGACGUGUUUUCCC